GCUCCCCCUCUCUGGAUGUCCAGCUCCACCUCUGUGUGAACUAAUGGGUGGAGUUAUGUUUAGGAUAGGGUAAGGGGUAGAGUUAGGGUGUGGUUAGGUUUCUAUCUCCACCCAUUACAUUCAGCGAGGGGGAGCUAGAGCUCCAGCUCCUCCCAUUUGACUCUGCAGCGAGCGCCCUCUCCCUUCUAGCCCAAAAACCUUGAAUUUGGAUACAUGUCAUUUUUUGACAAAAGAACUUGUGAGAUGUGUGAUAUUCCAUCACAGAACAUUAAGUUUACCUGUGGGAAAGCAACGGGAAACAACAAACGAUAAAGGACAUUCCUGCUUGGUCUUGUGUCAAAGUUGUGCAGAACUGAAGGAAGAAACCUCAAAGACAGUGCCAAAAGGAUGCUGGAAAGGGUUUAAAAAAUUCCCUCAUGUCCAAAUUCAACAUUAAGGAGGUGGUCCACUGCAGAAGGAGUCAUUUGAAAAGACUGCACUGUUCUCAGUCAUUAGUGAUGCAGUGAUGACCAACUUCCCGGUAGCAACAAAGAGUUGUAUUUGAGGAAUGCAGUUGGGAAGCAUUUUAUACAACAAGAACAACAACAAAAAAGUAUAUUUCCUUUGAGUUCACUGUUGGUUGUUUUAUUUGUUAAAAUAAGUUAAAUUAUUAUUAUUUUGUUUUUGUUUUUAAUUGUCAUUUAUCCACAA